rnacentral:lncRNA from 1 species
AAACAAAAAAUGAAAUAGAAUCAUAUUUUUUAUUAUAGUAAGAAUAUUACAAUGUCUUUACAAGUAUCCAAUAAAAGGAAAAUUGCAACGAAAUAAAAGAAAAUCCUAAAACUAAUCUUCUAGUAAUCUUUUCUUCUUUUUCUUCACUUUAUCCCUGCAAAAUGUAACAAAAUAAACAGAAAGACAAACAAACUAUUUAUAACAUGUCAAUACUGUCAUUUUUUAUGCAGAACUAGAUAUGAGCAUAUAUUUCCAGAAUUACAUGGUGUGAAUAUUGUAUGAGUAAGAUUAUAAUGGAAAUGAAUUUUGAUAGGAGCCCACUUUCGACGAGUAUUUAUCCGACAGAGCUAAAUAAUCAGGGUAUUUACCUUUUGAUAAUAUUAUUAUACUAUACUACCAGUAUACUACUCCACUUGGAUUUUUUAGAUGAGCAGAUCUGAGAUAGACAUCUGUUCAAGUGGCUAUAGGUAGGCUUGAAGAAGUCUCAUCGGUUCAAGUGGCUACAGGUAGUUGCACAGCUGGAAUAUAGACUACUACUACUAUUUGAAAAGAAAACAAGAGCAAAUCUGAACGUACUAGUCAGAUCCGAUCACAUUGAGCUAGAAAGAAAAUUCAUCAGGAAACAGAUGGCCAGCGACUUACUUCCAGACGUUGAGGAUCUCGUUGUGCCCGGCGAAGACGCUGCAGAGCGCGUCGCGGACGGCUGCUCACAGCGAUAGCUGCCGCAGAUGAACUCGUUGUCCUGCAGGUAGUCCAGC